rnacentral:lncRNA from 1 species
UAAGUAAUCUACAAAAAAGCUAGUAGAUCUAGUAAGUGAAUUUAACAAAAUUGAAGGAUACAAGGUAAACGUACAAAAAUUAUUGCAUUUCUAUAUAGUAGCUAUCACAAAUUGGAAACAGAAAUUUAAAAAUAUGUAUCAUUUACUGCAACUUUCCUAUAAAUUUAUAACUAUUCAAAAAUUAAAAGUUUAUGAAAAAUCCACCAUUUAAAAUAGCAUCACAAAUAUAAAACACUUAGGGAUAAAUGUAACAACAUAUAUGCAAAACCUAUAUACUGAAACCUACAAAACACUGGUAGGACUGUGGGGAAGCUAAUAAACAACAGAAAUUUAUUCCUCACAGUUCCAGAGGCUGGAAGUCGGAGAUCAGGAUGCCAGCAUGGCUGGGUUCUGGCGAGGGCUGCCUUCUGGGUGGCAGAUGGCAGACUUCUCAAUACCCUCCAUAUGGUGAAAAGAGAGUGAGUUAGCUCUCUGGUCUCUUUUUAUAAGGGCACUAGUUCCAACCAUGAGGGUUCCACCCUCAUAACCUAAUCACCUCCCAAAUGCCCUGCCUCCAAAUACCAUCACACUGGGGACUAGAGUCAACUUGUGAUUUUUGAUAUUAGUUUCCUAUGGGUGCUGUAAAAAACUACCACAAAAUUGGUGACUUAAAAUGGCACACAUUUAUUAUCCUGAGGCCAGAGGUCCAAAAAGGGUUUCAAUGGGCUAAAAUCAAGAUGUCAGCAGGACCUACUCCUUCUGGAGACUCUAUGGGAGAAU